GCUGGCGGCGUGCCUAAUACAUGCAAGUCGAGCGAACGGACGAGAAGCUUGCUUCUCUGAUGUUAGCGGCGGACGGGUGAGUAACACGUGGAUAACCUACCUAUAAGACUGGGAUAACUUCGGGAAACCGGAGCUAAUACCGGAUAAUAUUUUGAACCGCAUGGUUCAAAAGUGAAAGACGGUCUUGCUGUCACUUAUAGAUGGAUCCGCGCUGCAUUAGCUAGUUGGUAAGGUAACGGCUUACCAAGGCAACGAUGCAUAGCCGACCUGAGAGGGUGAUCGGCCACACUGGAACUGAGACACGGUCCAGACUCCUACGGGAGGCAGCAGUAGGGAAUCUUCCGCAAUGGGCGAAAGCCUGACGGAGCAACGCCGCGUGAGUGAUGAAGGUCUUCGGAUCGUAAAACUCUGUUAUUAGGGAAGAACAUAUGUGUAAGUAACUGUGCACAUCUUGACGGUACCUAAUCAGAAAGCCACGGCUAACUACGUGCCAGCAGCCGCGGUAAUACGUAGGUGGCAAGCGUUAUCCGGAAUUAUUGGGCGUAAAGCGCGCGUAGGCGGUUUUUUAAGUCUGAUGUGAAAGCCCACGGCUCAACCGUGGAGGGUCAUUGGAAACUGGAAAACUUGAGUGCAGAAGAGGAAAGUGGAAUUCCAUGUGUAGCGGUGAAAUGCGCAGAGAUAUGGAGGAACACCAGUGGCGAAGGCGACUUUCUGGUCUGUAACUGACGCUGAUGUGCGAAAGCGUGGGGAUCAAACAGGAUUAGAUACCCUGGUAGUCCACGCCGUAAACGAUGAGUGCUAAGUGUUAGGGGGGUUUCCGCCCCUUAGUGCUGCAGCUAACGCAUUAAGCACUCCGCCUGGGGAGUACGACCGCAAGGUUGAAACUCAAAGGAAUUGACGGGGACCCGCACAAGCGGUGGAGCAUGUGGUUUAAUUCGAAGCAACGCGAAGAACCUUACCAAAUCUUGACAUCCUUUGACAACUCUAGAGAUAGAGCCUUCCCCUUCGGGGGACAAAGUGACAGGUGGGGGCAUGGUUGUCGUCACCUCCUGUCCUGAAAAGUUUGGGUUAAUUCCCGCAACGAAGGGCAACCCCUUAAGCUUAUUUGGCCACCAUUAAGUUGGGGCACUCUAAGUUGACUGCCG
rnacentral:rRNA from 1 species